AUCUGGGCGGCGGAAUUCAGGGUGGCUGGGCGGGUCUCGCGCUCGUUCGGCCGUCUGAUAUUUCCGUCGCCGUUGCAGACGUCGCGACCUGUUCGUCGUCGGUCCUUGCUCGGAGGAAUCGCGAUCGAGUUCGUUGCGGGGCGCGUUUCGGCGUGUCUCGCGAUGAAGACGCGGCUCUCUGGCUGACGACGGACAGUAAGCAACGGUGGCCGGCGCGGUGUCUCGCACUCCGCGUCCGGUGCCGGUCAGCGACGAUUUCUUCGGGCCUCUUUCCGACCCGUCUUGAAACACGGACCAAGGAGUCUAACAUGCGCGCGAGUCGCGGGGUUUCGAGCGUGCCACGGUGCGCUCGUUACUUCCGAAACCCGUACGUUGAAGGCGUAAUGAAAGUGAACAGGGAAGAUGGCGUUCCGAGUCCACGAACCGUGAUCGAGUAUCGCGGCCGGGCGCCCGCACUCCCGGGGCGUCUUAAAGGCUCGUCGCGGAUGCGGACGGUCGUUCUUCGGGGCGGCCGUCGGUCUGCGACGGACCGA
rnacentral:rRNA from 1 species